GGGCGACGGUGUGAGGGUGGUUUAGGGAGAGCCCUAGGUAGGGGUUGGAUGGUCCGAGGGGGAAGGAGCCCUAGAAUAGGCUAGGUUAGGUCGGUGGUGGUUUUUUUGAGGGCUUAGGUAGCUAGGGGUGGCUGCGGGCGCGGGCGUUGGUCCGUGGGCUCCGGCUCGGGGGAUGGAGCAGGCGGGUUGGGGCGGCCGCUGGUGGUCCUAGGGCAGCGGGAGAGGAAGUGAUAGAAGAGGGACGGAGGAAAAAAAGGAAGACGAAAGAGGAGGGCAAACGGAGAGAGAGUUCUAGAGGGCGAGAGAGAGCCGAACGAGAGCGUCCUACAGCGCGGUCGUGGUCCCUUGACCUUCAGGCGGCGACCAGUCCAUGGAGCGGCAGUAGGCGUUGGAGGCGGAGCCUAGUCGACCGCAGUGGCCCCGGCGCAGUUCAGGCGGAGGCUGUUCGGGACGGAGGUGACGGAGCGGUUCAAGGCAACGGACGACGCAGGAGAGGCAGGACGAGCAGGCGGAGGAAGGCCGGAGGGGCAGCGAACGGUCUCAGGGUCGCGGAGGCGUUCGGUGACGGCGGCACCGGAGUUCGGCGGGAGCUUGAGGAGGCUCACGGCGGGGAACGGCCAGAGGAGAUUGGCGGAGGUGGCGUUCGGAACAGCAGCCCUUACUCCUCGUGCAGCGGGCUGCGUACCUGCGGCGGGAAGUCAUGAGCGGAAGCUGGUCAGGCUCGUGGCCUAGCCGCGGUGAGGCGACACGGCAGAGGCCGGGGACGGACGGCCUCGGCACGGAAGGGGGUACGGGCGCUCGGGCGCGGCCGGUAGAUGGAGCGACCGUUGCUGCUUGUUCCGCCGGUACCGGGGACGAAGCUUGCUUGAUCGUGUCGGUACGUCCACAACUGGUGCGGAAGGAGUAGGCACACCUGGCGCGGAACGGAGGAGAGGUCGACCCGAACCGGGUACAGAAGCCAAGGUAAGGCCUCAACACCCCUAAGCAAACUGAUGCAGGUAAACAGAAGGAGCACCUGAGCACGAAGAAGGAACGCCCUAGAGUCAACGUCCACGGCUACUAUGGUCACGUCCACUACGUUGGGUCGAGUUCACCCUCGAACUACUUCUAGAACAAACAACACAAUAAAAAGUAAAAGCCAACUAGUCAUCACCUCGGGUCAACCCUGCUAGCCCCUAGAUCGUAAACCCCAACAGAAUAAAAUAAAACCAAGGUAUCAGCCCGGAACAAACAUAAGACCUACUACAUACAAAUUGAACGUAAACACACUUCACCGCUAACAUUCUGCCGAGAAAUAGGGAAAGAAUAAGUCAUGUACC
rnacentral:rRNA from 1 species